rnacentral:sRNA from 1 species
GUCUAGCCCCGAUAGCAGCGGCAUCCUUUUUUGCUUCAACAGGAUUCCACCAAACGUGACAGCAAAAAAGAUAAAGCGGAUGGCGGGAUCAAGC